AUUGAACGCUGGCGGCAUGCUUUACACAUGCAAGUCGAACGGUAACAGGUUAAGCUGACGAGUGGCGAACGGGUGAGUAAUGCAUCGGAACGUGCCCGGUCGUGGGGGAUAACGCAGCGAAAGCUGCGCUAAUACCGCAUACGAUCUGAGGAUGAAAGCGGGGGACCGUAAGGCCUCGCGCGAUCGGAGCGGCCGAUGUCAGAUUAGGUAGUUGGUGGGGUAAGGGCUCACCAAGCCAACGAUCUGUGGCUGGUCCGAGAGGACGACCAGCCGCACUGGGACUGAGACACGGCCCAGACUCCUACGGGAGGCAGCAGUGGGGAAUUUUGGACAAUGGGCGAAAGCCUGAUCCAGCAAUGCCGCGUGCAGGAAGAAGGCCUUCGGGUUGUAAACUGCUUUUGUACGGAGCGAAAAGGCCUCCUCUAAUACAGGGGGCUCAUGACGGUACCGUAAGAAUAAGCACCGGCUAACUACGUGCCAGCCGCCGCAGUAA
rnacentral:rRNA from 1 species